CAGUCGCCGCGGGAAUACGUAGGGUGCAAGCGUUAAUCGGAAUUACUGGGCGUAAAGCGUGCGCAGGCGGUUAUAUAAGACAGAUGUGAAAUCCCCGGGCUCAACCUGGGAACUGCAUUUGUGACUGUAUAGCUAGAGUACGGCAGAGGGGGAUGGAAUUCCGCGUGUAGCAGUGAAAUGCGUAGAUAUGCGGAGGAACACCGAUGGCGAAGGCAAUCCCCUGGGCCUGUACUGACGCUCAUGCACGAAAGCGUGGGGAGCAAACAGGAUUAGAUACCCGCGUAGUCCCUGUCUCUUAUCA
rnacentral:rRNA from 1 species